rnacentral:lncRNA from 10 species
GCUACCGCGGCUGCAGAGGGACAUCUUUCAAGAACAGGCGCCGGCCUCGGCGUCCGCCGCGCAGUUAGGAAACUGACUGUCGCUCUCUCCGGCCUCGGCGCUGCUUCGGACGCCCCGGCACCGGCCCCCGUUGCUUUGUAGCAUUCUGCAGCUGGGCUGCAGGCGCCGUGGGCCUCCGCCAGUUGUGUUCGAGACGCGGUUCGGCCACAGAAGUUUUAGCUUGUGACUUUUGGCAAGUCAGUGGCCCUCUCUGGGCCUCAGGUGCCUUUUUUGCUGUGAGACCAGCGACUGUAUUUUUAACCCUGAUUUUAUCCCUAGAUCUACCCAACACAUAGUAGGUGCUCAAAAGAUAUUUAUGAGUGAAUGAAUGCAUCAUGAGAAGAAAUUGGACCAGAUGAGGCCCUGUGAAGCUGCUUGGGUCUUUUUUUGUUCUUUUUUUUUUCUCUCUUCUGAGUGUCCCUGGCCUGGACUAGAAAUUCUCCAUCCUUCGGCCUUCUGCGAGACUGCAGGAACAUUACUUUUGAAGGAUGCUAAGGAAUCCGAGGGAUGAAAAAAAUCAAGAGAUUGCAAUGAUGUCACAAAACAAGGAAACAAGCAUCUUCACUCCGAAGCAGAAAUUUGCCAAAAAAGCAUCCUCUUUUUAUCAGAAAAUAAAAUAUCCUGGUUUCUUAGCCUGGCAUUCUUGGAUCCCCACAGUUUGAUCCCAACCGACAACUCCUUAUUUGAAACUUCAGAUUCUCCCAAACCGUCACCUUCCUCGUGGACUUAAUCCUGGAAGGCCCUUCUACCCCACUUCGCCUUAUCUCACACAAACACAGUCUCUCUCUGACUGAGAUAAACUUGAACACUUCUUUUCUUUUCUUUUUUUUUUUCUUUAAAUUUCGGGUUUCAAAAUACAAAUGGCCUAAUCACAACAUUUCUGUAAUGUUGUCUAAAUUCAGGUACUGGUUUGAAUAGAGGACAAAAAUAAAACAAGGUUUGAAGACUAAGUACUUUAAAAACAUAUUUAUUUAAAUAGAGGCAGGGCCUCCCUAUGUUGCCCAGGCUGCUCUCAAACUCCUGGCCUCAAAAGUGAUCCUUGGGCUGGGCGUGGUGGCUCACGCCUGUAA